rfam:Prunus persica cultivar Lovell chromosome G5, whole genome shotgun sequence.
AAAUGCGAUUAUACUAUCUCACAUGUACCAGAUUCCUUCAAAACUCCGAAAUUAAGCGAGUUUGAGCUAGAGUAGUACUAAGAUGGUGAUCAAAAUAACAUUGUUUUAA